CUAGAACUGCUAAUUCGUUUGGUCUAGUGGUGAGGAAGCUAGUUUCAUUAUAAACAUCACCCCAGUGACUCUAAGACAGGUGGUUGGAAGAUCACCAUUAGAGAAAUGCUUCCUUACAAGAGAAAACCUAGUGAAUGGGGUAACAUCUACACAUUUUGACAACGGCAAAUGCUCAGAUCCUGGGUCUGAUGGCUUCUCUGAGGCAAUCUCAACUUCCCAAUGUCUAACAGUCAUUCCUUUGCAUUCCCCAAGUCUCAUUUCUCCAGCUUUUAAAGACAUUCCUGUACCACUACCUUCCUGGCUAUUAUCAUAAUCUAAACUAACUUAGAAGAGUAUGUUGAGUGACCAUUCAAAGGGAAAAAAAAAAAAAGCAAAAACCACAAGGCAGGAGGUGGAAGAAGCCACAGCUGAAGAGAGAAGGAGAGUGUCUCAGAUGGAGAAGAGAUGGUAGUGGUGUGGGUAUGUGUUGUGUGGAGGACUGAUGGAUCUGGAGGUAUGGAAGGGCCAUGCCUCAGAAGGAACAGGCUGGAAUGCGGACAUAAUGUUGGGCAUUUAACUCAAUCAUGUGGAUAGGACAACACCCGAGAGGAUGGCAAAGCAACAAAACAGAAGGCAUAAGGGUCCUCAGACCAUCACAAGAAGCAGAGCAGCCCACCUUUCCUGGGCUGCCUACCAGCUGGACUUUUAUUUGAAAGACAGACCAUCUUGUUUAAGCCAUGGUUACUUGGUACCUGUUACAGCAACUAAACAAAUAUCCUAAAUGAUAGAUCACAAAAUGCUUCUAAGGCAGUUAUUAACGGUGUUCCUGGUGAGUCUUCUUGGGACAGCUGUGAAUUACAUCCUUUUAAAAGAGUACCUGAGAAAGCAAGCCCAGGUGAUAUCACCAUUUAAGCCCCUCUUAGGCUGUGUUUGCUGAUGUCCUCAAAAUGCGUUCUCACUAGCUUAAGGGUGUCUUCUUAGGAUGCUGCUAUGGAAAACUCCAUCACUGUUUUCCAGCUUUGCCCAUACUCAGGUACCAAGAGGAUUUCACUCAUGUGAUUCUUCAUUUAUUUCACUAUUUUAGGGGCUCUUCUCAUGUGGCAGUCACUGUGUCAGGCGCCAGGGAAACAGCAGACAGCAGAACAGACACGAGCUUUACACUCUCAGGAAGCUGAUAUUCCAGUAAGGCAGGAAAGACCCAAUAAACAAGAUAAUUUCAGGGAAUUAUACAACAAAACAGCAACCUGAAAUUUGUCUUCAUGUCCUCUAUAAAUUACACAGGCAAACUGAGUCUAUCACGUUGCUGAAUAUCUUAUGGUCUCUGUGAUAGCUAGCCUCAGAGAUGGCCCCCAAUAGUCCUUGUCUCUUAACUGCCUCAGCCUGAAGGAGACGCAUUACUUCCACACACAUUCCAUUGGUGAGAAUUAGUCCCACAAACACACCUAGAAGCACAGAGAUUGGGAAACAUAGAGA
rnacentral:lncRNA from 1 species